GAUGAAGAACGUAGCGAAAUGCGAUAAGUAAUGUGAAUUGCAGAAUUCAGUGAAUCAUCGAAUCUUUGAACGCACAUUGCGCCCCCUGGCAUUCCGGGGGGCAUGCCUGUCCGAGCGUCAUUACAACCCUCAAGCUCAGCUUGGUGUUGGGCCCCGCCGCCCCGGCGGGCCCUAAAGUCAGUGGCGGUGCCGUCCGGCUCCGAGCGUAGUAAUUCUUCUCGCUCUGGAGGUCCGGUCGCGUGCUCGCCAGCAACCCCCAAUUUUUUUCAGGUUGACCUCGGAUCAGGUAGGGAUACCCGCUGAACUUAAGCAUAUCAAUAAGCGGAGA
rnacentral:misc_RNA from 1 species